rnacentral:rRNA from 1 species
UUAGAGUUUGAUCCUGGCUCAGGACGAACGCUGGCGGCGUGCUUAACACAUGCAAGUCGAACGGUGAAGCCCAGCUUGCUGGGUGGAUCAGUGGCGAACGGGUGAGUAACACGUGAGUAACCUGCCCCUGACUCUGGGAUAAGCCUUGGAAACGAGGUCUAAUACCGGAUAUGUGACGUUCAGGCAUCUGAUGCGUCUGGAAAGAUUUAUCGGUCAGGGAUGGACUCGCGGCCUAUCAGCUUGUUGGUGAGGUAAUGGCUCACCAAGGCUAUGACGGGUAUCCGGCCUGAGAGGGUGAACGGACACACUGGAACUGAGACACGGUCCAGACUCCUACGGGAGGCAGCAGUAGGGAAUAUUGCUCAAUGGGGGAAACCCUGAAGCAGCAACGCCGCGUGGAGGAUGAAGGUUUUCGGAUUGUAAACUCCUUUUCUAAGAGAAGAUAAUGACGGUAUCUUAGGAAUAAGCACCGGCUAACUCCGUGCCAGCAGCCGCGGUAAUACGGAGGGUGCAAGCGUUACUCGGAAUCACUGGGCGUAAAGAGCGCGUAGGCGGGAUAAUAAGUCAGAUGUGAAAUCCUACGGCUUAACCAUAGAACUGCAUUUGAAACUAUUAUUCUAGAGUAUGGGAGAGGUAGGUGGAAUUCUUGGUGUAGGGGUAAAAUCCGUAGAGAUCAAGAGGAAUACUCAUUGCGAAGGCGACCUGCUGGAACAUAACUGACGCUGAUGCGCGAAAGCGUGGGGAGCAAACAGGAUU